UAAGCGUGCGCAGGCGGUUUUGUAAGUCUGUCGUGAAAGCCCCGGGCUCAACCUGGGAAUUGCGAUGGAGACUGCAAGGCUUGAAUCUGGCAGAGGGGGGUAGAAUUCCACGUGUAGCAGUGAAAUGCGUAGAGAUGUGGAGGAACACCGAUGGCGAAGGCAGCCCCCUGGGUCAAGAUUGACGCUCAUGCACGAAAGCGUGGGGAGCAAACAGGAUUAGAUACCCCGGU
rnacentral:rRNA from 1 species